rnacentral:misc_RNA from 1 species
AAGACUAUAGACCUGCGGAGUACCUGCGGAAGGAUCAUUACGAAACGGGACUUCAUGCCCCAAACCCAUUGUGAACCUACCGUACUGCUUCGGCGGGCGACCCUGGGGUGACCCAGGGCCCGGCUCAGGCCGGGUGCCCGCCGAAGGUCAGCGGACCACUAUGCUGUUUUAGAUAUUCCGAGUGAGAGCUGCCGAGAGGCGGCGAGAAAUAGACUAAAAACUUUCAACAAUGGAUCUCUA